rnacentral:rRNA from 1 species
CAGUCGCCGCGGUAAUACAGAGGAUGCAAGCGUUAUCCGGAAUGAUUGGGCGUAAAGCGUCUGUAGGUGGCUUUUCAGGUCAGUCGUCAAAUCCCUGGGCUCAACCCUGGACAAGCAGUGGAAACUACCAAGCUGGAGUAUAGUAGGGGCAGAGUGAAUUUCCGGUGGAGCGAUGAAAUGCGUUGAGAUCAGAAAGAACACCAACGGCGAAAGCACUCUGCUGGGCCGACACUGACACUGAGAGACGAAAGCUAGGGGAGCAAAUGGGAUUAGAUACCCCCGUAGUCCCUGUCUCUUAUAA